rnacentral:lncRNA from 1 species
CUGUCAUUGAGGGGGGAGGGGCUUGAAGGGGUGGGGGAGGGGCGACCCCACCGCCCUCCUCCGCUCCCUGACACCCCUCCCCUUGUCUCUCUUUUUAGCCCCUCCCCUUCCCUUUUAGCCCCUCCCCCUCCCUUUUAGCCCCUCCCCCACCCCAUUGAUGCCCCUCCCCCCCACGCCCCCUCCCCCGCGCCGCCCCUCCCGGCCAAUCAGACGCGUCCCUGCCCCGGCUGGGGCAAGGGCGGGGCCGGCGAGGGGAAGGGGCGUGGUCGUGCACCUGACCACGCCCACCUCUGGCCCCGCCCCUUCCCUGGAGGAUUUCGAGAUCGUCCGGAGCCUCGGGAGGGGCAGCCGGGGGGAGGUGCUGGAGGUGCGCCGCCUCUCGGACGGUUCCCGCUUCGCCCUCAGGCGCUCGCUCCGCCCCUCUCGGGCCCCGCCCAGCGCCGCCAUUGGCUGCGGGAGUGCCACGCCCAGCUGGGGGCGGGGCCGGCGCCGGGGCUCCUCCCCCUGCUGGCGGCCUGGGAGCAGCGACGUCACUUCCUGUUGCUGCUCCCGCUGUGCCCGGCCGGAAGUUUGGGCAGCCAAUGGCGGCGAGGGGCGGGGCCAAGCUACAAAGGGGCGUGGCUCGGCUCUGGAGGGGCGUGGUCUCGCCCCUGAGGGGCGUGGCUUGGGUUUUGUGGGGCGUGGUGCGGUGGGUGGCGGGGAAAAGGGGCGGGGCUUUGGGGGCUGGGGGCGUGGCUUCAUCGUCUGUGGGCGUGGCUUCAUCUUCCGAGGAGGUGACGUCACCCUCUGUGGGUGUGGCUUCAUCUUCUGAGUGCAUUAUGUCACCCUCUGGGGGCGUGGCUUCAUAUUUUGGGGCGUGGCUUCCUCUAUGGGCGUAGUCUCUGUUUUCAGGGGCGUGGCCUCAUUUUUAAGGGGCGUGGCUUCACCAGAGGUGGUGACGUCACCCCCUGGGGGUGUGGCCUCAUUAGCGCACACAAACUCUGCCUCGCCAUUGGUCAGCGAGCUCAAAGGGGGCGUGGCCAACUCCGGAGGCGCUUUGCUAUUGGCCAAGCGGCCACAGGAGGGCGUGGCCGAGUCUAUGGACCGUCCCACAUCGUCCAAUCAGGGUCGGGGGGGUGUGGCUGAUCAGAAAAUGGGCGUGGCCAUGCCCCGGGCAGUGUCCGAGCCCCCUCCGGCCACAACUGACCCCUUGACCAUGUCUGACCCCUCUCUGGCCACCUCUGGCCACUCUCCGGCCACUACUGACCCCUUGACCACCAUUGACCCCUGGUCGGGGUCCCACCCUGUCCGCCACUGGCGACUCCGGGCUUACCUGUGGGACGUCCUGGGGGGCCGCUGACCGCUGGCGCUGCGCCCGGGCCGCCGACCCGCCGGCCCGAAAGUGGACAACGGUUCCUGCUGGACGCCCUGGGGCGCUGCCGGCUGGCCGACUUCGGAGUGACCACUGGACCUGGACGACCACUGGACAACCCACUGACCCCAUGGCCGCUUCCGGGUGACCGCUGGGCCCAGGGUGGCCACUGGAGUGACCACUGGGCCUGGAGUGACCACUGGAGUGACCACUGACCCCAUGGCCGACUUCGGAGUGACCACUGGGCCCAGAGUGACCACUGGAGUGACCACUGGGCCUGGAGUGACCACUGGAGUGACCACUGACCCCAUGGCCGACUUUGGAGUGACCACUGGGCCCGAGUGACCACUGGAGUGACCACUGGGCCCGGAGUGACCACUGGAGUGACCACUGGGCCUGGAGUGACCACUGCGGAGUGACCGCUGGAGUGACCACUGGGCCCAGAGUGACCACUGGAGUGACCACUGACCCCCAUGGCCGACUUGCGGGGUGACCACUGGAGUGACCACUGGGCCCGGAGUGACCACUGGGUGCCCCCCUGGCCCUGGGUGGCCACUGGGCCCAGAGUGACCACUGGAGUGACCACUGACCCCAUGGCCGACUUCGGAGUGACCAGCGGGCCCGGAGUGACCACUGGAGUGACCACUGGGCCUGGAGUGACCACUGGAGUGACCACUGACCCCAUGGCUGACUUCAGAGUGACCACUGGGCCCAGAGUGACCACUGGAGUGACCACUGGGCCUGGAGUGACCACUGCAGUGACCACUGCCCCUGGAGUGACCCCUCCCCCCACAGUGACCAUUAACCACAGUGACCAUUAACCGCGACCUUUAACCCCCUGGCCCCCCCCCCCGGGGCGGGUCACCGCGGGACGGGGGCGUGUCCCUGGGGGGGCGGGGCGAUGCCCGUUACUCCGCCCCCGAGGCGCUGUGUGGGCGGGGCCAGGGCCACGCCCCCGCGGACAUUUUCAGCCUGGCGCUGACCGUGGCCGAACUGGCCGGAGAGCGGACACUGCCCCGCCCGGGGGAGGGGUGGAGCCGGCUGCGCCGGGGGGGAGGGGCCACGAGGAGGAGGAGGAGGCGGAGCCUGCUGCCGGCGGGGCUGGGGGAAGGUGAGGGAGGGGCUAAUGGGGUGGGGGAGGGGUGGGGGAGGAGUUAAUGGGGGAGGGUUAAUGGGUGUGGGGGGAGGGGCUAAAGGUCGGGGAGGGGUUA